rnacentral:pre_miRNA from 1 species
UAUUAAAAGUUUUAUCCAUUCCUAUUGUUAAAAAUUGGUAUGGUUGAUGAAAUAACCAGACAAGUUACACGUGGUGUGCACGUGUAUCUUAUGCUAAUGUAUACAUACCAGUUUUUAAUAAAAAAAUAGAUAGAAUUUUUAGCA